UCUCCUGGAAACGGGUGGUAAUGCCGGAUGUUCCACAUGAGCGCAUGCGAGUGUGGGAAAGGCUUUUUGCGGCAUGGGAUGGGGUCGCGUCCUAUCAGCUUGUUGGUGGGGUAACGGCCUACCAAGGCGUUGACGGGUAGCCGGCCUGAGAGGGCGACCGGCCACAUUGGGACUGAGAUACGGCCCAGACUCCUACGGGAGGCAGCAGUGGGGAAUAUUGCACAAUGGGCGCAAGCCUGAUGUAGCGACGCCGCGUGCGGGAUGGAGGCCUUCGGGUUGUAAACCGCUUUUGUUCAAGGGCAAGGCACGGUUUCGGCCGUGUUGAGUGGAUUGUUCGAAUAAGCACCGGCUAACUACGUGCCAGCAGCCGCGGUAAUACGUAGGGUGCAAGCGUUAUCCGGAUUUAUUGGGCGUAAAGGGCUCGUAGGCGGUUCGUCGCGUCCGGUGUGAAAGUCCAUCGCUUAACGGUGGAUCCGCGCCGGGUACGGGCGGGCUUGAGUGCGGUAGGGGAGACUGGAAUUCCCGGUGUAACGGUGGAAUGUGUAGAUAUCGGGAAGAACACCA
rnacentral:rRNA from 1 species